rnacentral:rRNA from 1 species
CCGUAAUCUACCCAGUUUUCGUAUCCAAAACGGAUAUCUGCGUUAAUUUUGGAGCUAAUACGUGCACCAACGUGCUGCUAGCAAUAGUGGCACGCACUUAUUAGAUCAAGGCCGAUUGGGGCAACCCUUUUGGUGACUCUGAAUAAUUUUGCGGAUCGUAUGGUCUUGUACCGACGACGUACUGGUCGAGCGGGUGCCCUAUCAACUAUUGAUGGAAGUCUAUGUGUCUUCCAUGGUUGUAACGGGUAACGGAGAAUAAGGGUUCGACUCCGGAGAGCUAGCCUUAGAAACGGCUAUCACAUCCAAGGAAGGCAGCAGGCGCGUAAAUUACCCACUCUCAAUUCGAGGAGGUAGUGACUAUCAAUAACGAGACAGAUCUCUUUGAGGUCUGUCAUUGCAAUGAGCACAACUUAAAGACUUUAACGAAGUCUAUGGGAGGGCAAGUCUGGUGCCAGCAGCCGCGGUAAUUCCAGCUCCCAACGUGUAUAUCGUCAUUGCUGCGGUUAAAAAGCUCGUAGUUGGAUCUUAGCUCAUGUCGGUAGUUCUCCAUGUGAGAUACUGCUCGGCUGAGCUGUUUCGCCGGUUUUCCGUAGUUUCGGCUGCGGUGACUGGUGUUGUAACUUUGAUUAAAUCAAUGUGAUUAAAACAGGCGUUUGCUUGAAUGCUUUAUCAUGGAAUAAUAGAAUAUGACUUCGGUCCAUUCUGUUGGUCUUGGGAUCGAAGUAAUGAUUAAAAGGAACAACUCGGGGGCAUCCGUAUCG